AUGUAUGUGUAUAUCAUAAAAUGUUAAAGACGGUGAAAUUGAGGUUCUAUUUAUAACUCUGCGCACUUUGGAUUGCGCACUUGUUGUCUGUACUUAUAUAUGUUUUUAUAUUUCUUCUGUUAUAACUGCACGAAAAAAAAUAAAACACAAAAUACCACUCCUAGAGAUAGAAUCACUAACUCACUACUAACAAUUUAAUAAUCCAUCGUCAUCUUCAAUAAGUGUAUCUCAAGAAAACUGACAAAAGGCAUAAUUUUCUUCUUUAUUUUUUUUUCACUUUAUUCAUUUCAUUGCAAUGUAAUUUUCUGUAUUAGUGAUCAAUAUAUUUUUUUCAUAUUUACUUAUAUUGGAUUUUUUUUCUCAGAAAUGUUAUUCUCUUUGUUUCAUUAGAAAAUUCCACCGUCUUCACGUAAGUGUUGACGGUGUUGUUGCAGCACCAGAGCAGUUAUUUUAACUAUUUAUAGAUUUCUAAUUAAACUGAUAAGAAACACCAAAGAGAUUAGGCUUAAAGCAAACAUAUCGAAGAUAGAGGAAAUAUUUCAAGCAAGUUUCACACCACGUGUUGCAUUUUAUAAUUUUGCACACAAAUAUGACCUAUUUAUCCUCCUCAGACCACCACUUUUAAACGAAACAUAUUCCGGAAAUAUUCUACUGUAAAAUCUCUUUUUAAACCACAAAAUACCAAAGGAUAAACAACUAAUUCUGCUAUAUUUAUUUACAUUUUUACAUCAAAUGACAUCUUCAUCAUAUCCUCCAAACUAUACACAUAGCAAAAAAAAAAAGAAAAUAUAUAUAGAAACAUGAUUAAAACUAUCACUUCAAUCAUCGUCAGAAAAUAAACAUUUUAGAGAAGAGUUGUGUUGUGUAUGGAAAAAAAGAGAGGACCGAAUAGAAAAACAGAUUAAUUCAAUUUUAUUGAGAAUGUCGCGACACUUCACGAUGUUUUUGUCAAAUAAAAAUCCAUCUAAUAGUGGCCUUAACCACCAAGAGCAUCGUGGAGAAAGAAAAUAUAUAUCGCACAGUUGCAAUAGAAGAAGCAAAACUCGUUUUUUAAAAAGGCAAGUACGCAAUGAGAGAGUGGAUAGAGACUUCGUUUAAUGAUCAAAAUAUUCCGGGUUCGAAUCUCGUUCAGGUCGCCAAGAAUUUUCUAGAAUCUAUGAUCUAGUUCGUGUCAUUCAAAAGUAGUAGAAACAUCACGUUACGACAGAACUUUAGCCCCUAUAGGGUAAGAUGGGGUCAUUCGGAAACAUGUCUAUAUUAGAAUUUUGAAAUUUUCUCAGAGUUUCAGAUGGUCAAAGACAGAAAGAAAACUACGAAGAAGUACGAGGCUUUAGAUUGGAGAGUACCUCUUCGUUGUUUUUUUCCUAUUCUGAAGCGCUGUUAGGAAAUCUCAAAGUUCUAAAUUAGACAUGAUUCCAAAUUAUCCAUUUUUACCCUAGAGUCAUCACUUAAGAACAUUAUACAUUUUUCGGAAAUCUUGCAAAAAAGGUCACAAGGGGGUAAAUUCUGAAACUUUGUGAGAACGUGAGAAGUGCUAAAAAUAAAAAAAUACCGAAACUUGUCACUUAAGUGUGAUUCUUCAUGCUCAUUUUUGAGACAUUUCUCACGAUAUUUUCGUAAAACUUCUCACAAAAUGAUGGUCCAGUGACUCAAACAGAACAGUGCUCGAUUUUCGUUUGAACCUCAAUUUCGAGGUUAAAAAACAAUCUGAGUGAAAAGUUGUACAAGGAUGAAAAUGUAGCCAAUGAAAUUCUCUAUCAAACCCAUAAAACAUAUUGUUAGGGACAGUUCUAUUUUUCGAGAUAUUGUUGAUUAAAGUUGCAAAAAAGUUCGAUUUUUCCACGUUUUCUGAUAUAUAUGAGACUACAGCGCCCCUGGUGAAAGUUUCACGAACUCCAUCUGUCCAAAGGAUUAUCGGGCAUCUAAAGGAGAACAAAUAAUGUUCCCAUAUUAAGAAAUAAAUCGGUUCAGCAGAAUCGGAUAUAUAGGCGCCCCAGUAUCAAAAAAACGGCAAAAACAGUUUUGCCUAGAUUCUAGGCGCAAAAACAAAAUGAAAUCAAAAUGAUAAGUAUUUUCGUAAAUCAUUUGACCCUAGCAAUAGAAAAAAUAGCAUGAGAACCCAGGGACAGAAAAAAUUUAAAAUGGUUGCACAGUGUUAUUUAUUAUUAUGAUGGAAUUCCGUGAAAUAGACUCAUAAUUUGAUUAAAUAUAGUUAAUUCUGAAGACUUGUAGAUAUCACCACAAAAACAUUGAGAUGCAAUAUUGUGGUGGAAGCCUCUCAUUCUUUAGAGCUAUCCCAAAAUUUAGGUUAAGUUUGAGGAAAGUCCUUUGGCAACACACUAAUACGGUUAAUAAGGAAUGCAAAAGUGCAUAUUAAAACAAGGUAAACGACAAACUUAUGUAUAAGCAUAAAUUGAGGGAGAAAGUAUCUAGUUGUAUUUUAGAGUUUUUCAGCAACCGUAGCACCUCCAAAUAUUUGUUAAGUGUGCUACCGUACAUACAGGUGACUUUACAAUUAGAGAUUAACAUUGAAUUCCUGGGGUGGAAUGAUAACUUUACGACACUAUCGAUUCAAUAGUAUCGAUAAAUCUGUUUCUGUUACAGUAAGUGAAUGAUGACUUUUUACGCAUUGUUAGACCAUUUAUUGUGAUAUUCUUUAUAGGAUGUGACAUGUGACCUUUGAUAAAUAUUUGUACUACCUACAAUAAGUACAGCUAUCGAUUAAAAUUUUUCAGAAUCGAUAGUCGAUACUAUCGAAAAGAAGUUUUCAUGUCACCCAUCCAUUUCGUAAGCUUUUCUUUAAUUUUAGAUAAUUUUUGGACCAUUUUCAGUCUUAGAUAAUUUACUAAAUGAUAUGUUAUAGAAUCAAAAUUCUUAUAAUCUGCUUAUAGUGCUCUUGAAUCUAUCUCUAUGACUACUAAAAGUAAACUGGCGCAAUCGUAAAGGGGCUUAAGAGUCCCUACAAGAACUUUAAUACAAAAAUUUCAUUGUAAGUCUUUUAAAGUUCCAUUAUAAGACUUGUCAUUCUUGGUUCUAUAAGGCGGCUAUUUUGCUUCUUGGGAGCUUACAAAAAGCAGGGAUGCAAAGUUACGUUAAUAACUCCGGGAUCAUGGAAGAAGCAUCCACAUCACUGGAUAUAAUAUUCUUAAAAAAUGAUAACCUUGUAAUACAAUAUCUCGAUACGAUUAAUAAUAGUUUCUGUUAUUUCUUAGCACCUAAUGAUUCACGGUGAAUAAGCGAGGUUAGUGUUACCAGUGCUGCUGUUUAUAUUUUCUACUAGAAUUAUCUAAAAAUAAACAAAACUUUCAGGACUUCGUAGUUUAUUUAAAAAAGAAAAAAAAAUCACAAAUCUUCUGCGAUUUUCGGAAAUGCUGAAGUGAGAAAUCUUGAAUACGAUAAUUUAUGGAGUAUUCUGGUACGGAUAAACCAGAAGGUCCUUCUAAUUCUAAGAAUAUCUCCUCAAAGCAGAAGAUAAUCUCAAAUUCGAAUGAUCUUUGGAGUUUUUCUAUACACUAACCAUUAGAUACAACAGGUUUCUAAUAUUCAGGAGAAAAAAGAAGGAUCUUGACAGAGUUUAAUUUUUGUAACAGUACAAUAGUACAAAAGAUAAAAAAAAUCAUUAGAAAUAUCCAACUUGAAGCCUUCAUUGUGUCCCCUUAAUAUUUUUAAUACAAAUUAAAAAUGUUCAGCACAAAUCACGCUAAGCCCCUUCUAUUGUCAAUGUACGAUAUAUUAUUUUCUCCCAUCACUUUCCUAACUCAAAGCACUAUCGUAAAUUUUCACAAAUCGCUAUACAAGACUAGACACACUUGUUGCUCUGUUGUUCUAUCCCAAAAACAUAAAACUGCACUUAAUUUUUGUUGAAAGGGAAGUGUUUACAAUAUUCUAUAAAAUGUAAAGAUAAUAGUCACACUUCAGAACAAUGCAAUAUAUAUAUCCUGAAAUCUCUAGAAGGCAUUUGCAAGAAAUGUAUAAAUUUAAACAUUGAUAAAAGACAUAAAAUAAAUUUCGUAGAAGCUAAAUUCAUCCUUCAUCCCUUCAAAUUAAGUCAUUUUAGCACAUACUUUCCACACCCCAAUCUUUUUCUUUUGAAAUCUCUUUGUUCUGGGGAUCGUCCCACUCAAAAAUUAUUUUGGAAGAGCGUGCUAGACACAUUGAGGUCGACCUCUGACAUUUCAAAUUGGGCCAAUUUCAACCACCCCAUAUCAUGUGAAAAAUGAAUAAAAUUACUCUCAACAGAGGUGUAAAUAACCCCUUAAAUUUCAACUUGGCGUGAAAUUCUGACAAGUUAAGGGAAUAUCAAAAGGAUACCUCUAAAAUGUUCUUACAAUUUUUUUUCACAUUCAAAACACCUACACUUUUUUCCCAAAAUCGUUAUUCCGGUUAUUCAGUCCAACCCUAUAAGAAAUGGAUCCAGCCACGGAUGACAGACCGGAUAUUUCCAUGAGUGCCCAUGGAAAUAACCACUGGAGAUCCCUUAGCUUUCCACCUGGAUUCUUACCCCUGGUGUUCCGCAUGGAAUAAGGACGGAAAUUUCCCUUUAUAUGGGUGGAAAACACCAGGGUUAAUCCAGUGGUUUUCCCUUUGAGAUAUACCACGGGUAGACUCCCAUGGAAUCCGUGCGGAAUACCAGUGGAAAUUUCCAGCAGCAAUAUCCAGUGGUAGUCCAUGGGGUUUCCCAAGGGAUUUUUCAGUGAUACCCCCGGAAAUUUCCACUGGUAAUCCUCUGGUUUUCCACCAUGGUUAUAUGAGUGGAAUGACAGUGGAAAUUUCCAGGGUGAUGAGUGGAUAUCACCAUGGGUAGUCCAAGGGUUUUCCCGUAGAAAGUUCCAGGUGGAAAAUUCCAUCUUUCAGAUGGAAAAUCCCAAAGGAAUUCAUGUGGAGUACCAGUGGAAUAUUCCAGUGUAAACAUCCAGUGGAAGACCCUUGGUUCUCCCACGGUUAUAUACACUCAUACACAUGGUAAUAUCCACUGGUAAUCCUGUGGUUUCUCACCACGGUUAUAUGAGUGAAACAACAGUGAAAUUUUCCCUGGUGAUGGAUGGAAAUCACCAUGGGCACUCCGAAGGUUUUCCCAUAGAAACUUCAAAGUGGUGAAUUCCUACUUCCAGGUGGAAAAUUCCAGAAGAAUUUGUGUGGAGCACCAUGGAAAGUUCCAGUGUUCUAUUUUAUUAAAAAAAAAAAGAUUUCACUCUGCGAUAUGUCUAUUUUAAUAUUAAUCGAAAGAAUUUAUCACAACGGUCUCUGUAUUUCAAAUGUAAUCGACGAGUCGAUGAUGCGUUCGAUGAGUAAAUAACGCCAUUUCAGCGCACGCGCAUUGCUCACGGAUUUUUCUGGAAGUCGUGGUGAAUUGGUUCUUGUGCAGUUAUUUGUGAAAAAAAUAGAAUUAAAACUUUGAAAAACCAGUGACAAAAGUGUGCGGGAUGAACAAUAGAACUAGUUAAAUAAAGUGACACGGUUUUCAAUGCGAAAUAAAGAAAUUUAGUGCGCGAAACACAAAAAAAUCAUCUUCUGCGUCUCAUUCUUUGUGUUGACAAGACCAUAUUAUACACGAUAAGGCGAUGAAGUCCUGUGCCAAAAUAGUCGGUCAAAUCAAAGACAGCAAUAGGCCAUGCAGAAAGCGUAAGAAGGCAACGCCAGCAAUUCCAUUACCAAAGAACACUUCAGCAGUACCUGGGCCAUAUACUCAGCGAGAUUUGAAAUCGUCUGAAUCUACUCAUACAUCUAUCUAUCGUCUAAAUCGUAAGCUGUGUAAGGUGAUCAACGAUUCCUGCUUCUUUUGUAAUUCAUUAUAAUGUAAAUAUUUUUUCAAUCACGUCAAUAUUUUUUAUAUAUGUAUCUGAACAUUAAAUUAAUUUGAAGUUUAAUUAGAUUUUUUUUAAAAUUAAAUGUAUUAUUUUUUUUUUUAAUUUUAUUAAAAAAGUGAAGUUAAUACAUGAAAUAAAAUGUUCUCUGCUAUAUAUGACCAGUGUUAUUACUUUAGUCUCAAGCUUGAACGAUAAUCUGAAGUACAAAAAUUGCCUGAACGCUUACAGAAAAGUAUAUUCUUUAAUAGAAUGGAGAUAUUUCAUUAGGCAUAAAAAAAAGAAGGUCGCAUAGAAUUGACAUGUCAACUCCAAGAGAUUCUUAGUAUCAUCGAUAUGACAAUACUUUCGCCGCAUUCGAAGAGUAUAGUGCUAAAAGAGGAUCUUCUGUUGCAUCGCCAUCGCUCUCUUCCAGCACCAAGUCAUCAAGAGGAAACAUUUCUUAACAUCCAUGAAUUGCCAACGCAAUGGUCUGCCAGUGGAAUGACAUGGUACAGCUCUUACCAUGUGGAUUCCAUUGGUAUCCCAUGCGAAAAUACCGGCUGGUUUUCCGAGAUCACCCAUGGAGUGCCAGUGGAGUACCAGUGGAAAUUACCCCGCCCAGGUAAAGCAGUUACCACUGGGUUGCCAUUGGUAUCCCAUGGGAAAACACCGGCCGGUUUUCCGAGAUCACCCAUGGAGUGCCAGUGGAGUACCAGUGGAAAUUACCCCGCCCAGGUAAAGCAGUUACCACUGGGUUGCCAUUGGUAUCCCAUGGGAAAACACCGGCCGGUUUUCCGAGAUCACCCAUGGAGUGCCAGUGGAGUACCAGUGGAAAUUACCCCUCACAGGUACGGAACUUACCACAGGAAUUCCCUUGGUGUCCCAUGGGAAAAUACCGGCCAAUUUUCCGAGAGUACUCAUGGAUUUCCCAUAGAGUACCAGUGGAAAUUACCAUGCGGCAGCUUUAGAAUUUCAACGGGAAUGCCCAUGGAUUUCCACUGGAUAACACCACCACCGAGGCUGGUAGAUUCCCAUGGAAAUUGCGUGACGCGCCAAUGCAAAAUUACAAUGUACUUCUACAGGGGAAUCCAGGGGGAUAAAGGGUGGAUUUCACCAAGUGGACGCAUGGAACAUUCCAUUCUGUUACCAAUGGAAUUUCCAUUGGAUCGCGCCGGAUUUUUCUUAUAGGGAAAAGUUCGUAGAAGUCAUUAAACACCCUUUGUUGCUCAUAUUGUUUCUCUUUUACCCUUUAUGUUUCACUUAGCCUUCACAAUGUCUCAAAAUUUGAUUAAUUCCACUUAAUAUAUUUCAUUAUUUUAUGGUUUCUUUGCCCUAAUAAUCUGUCCAGUCGAAUUAGGAUAUAGGACUCUCAUACAGCUCACAUAUUGUAAUCGAUACGAAAAGUUGAAGUCUCAGAGAUAGUUCGGGAGCAUGAAUUAAGUAUCCUUCGCUAAAGACUGUGAAGUACCGAUCAGAGAACGGUAAGAAAUAUUUUUUUCUGUUUUUCGCAAAGGUACGAUAUUGACAGGAUGACUAGAGGAAUAAACCUGAAGUUAAACGUAAUUGAAAUGCAAAAAAUUUACUCAAAUUAUUUUUUCUUGAUGGUUUUUUUUUCUUUCGUUAUUCUGAUUUUCUUCUCGAAUGAAUUACUUUAAAAUGCUAAGACAGCGGUGGACGCUAAACCACAAUUCUAUUAUACUACAAAAUUCUAUCGUGAUCCCAAAAUUUAAUGAAUAAAUUAGGAAUAGGAUGAAUAACUUAACGAGGAUGCUGCAUAUUGCUAGCGGACGUUUUACCUCUUGAAAAUACGAGAAAGUGUCUCGGAUAGUAUGUUAUACUUGUUAAUGUAGGAUGUUAUAUCAACUAUACGGUGCUACCUAUAGUUAAGUUUACGACUUUAGGCUUUUUCUAAACCGAUAUCUAUCGCAAUUUUUAUUAUCCAGUAUAAUUAUCUCCCAAAAUUUACACAGUUGAUUCAGUUUGCCUACAUAUAUCUCCUUAUCUAUAUUCUGUCCCGUAAACUACUUCCCAAGAUUUUCAAUUAAGAUUAACUUUUGAACCAAAAACUUAAAAGAUCGAGCUUAUUACGAAUUUUCCUUCGCUACUGUAUUUACAGCGUCUGCAAGUUUACGAUCGAUGUAAACAUAUUUAUAAAGCACCUACUAAAAA